rnacentral:rRNA from 1 species
CAUUCGCAAUAAAUGGUUUUUUUUAUAAUUCAUAAAAAAAAAAAUCCUUUACCACCUUGUGUGCAAUGUAUGAGAAAAGGGGCCAUUUGGCUUCUUUUUUUUCUAUAUCAUCAACUCUUUGCUUUGAAACCAGUUUGUCUGAAAUAAACAUAUUCUUUGAAUAACUUAAUUCAAAAAUACAACUUUCAACAACGGAUCUCUUGGCUCUCGCAUCGAUGAAGAACGCAGCGAAAUGCGAUACGUAAUGUGAAUUGCAGAAUUCAGUGAAUCAUCGAAUCUUUGAACGCAUAUUGCGCUCUCUGGUAUUCCGGAGAGCAUGCUUGUUUGAGUAUCAGUAAACACCCUCAGAUCUUUCUAUUUUUUGUGGAAAGAUUUGGAUUUGAGUGAUCCUAACGUGACUUUCUCUCCAAAGUCAUGGCAGGCCGCUUGAAAUGCAGGUGCAGCUGAACUUUCUUCUGAGCUAAAAGCAUAUUUAUUUAGUCCUGCCUUUAUCGCUGGAUUAUUACUUUUGCUGCAGCUAACAUAAAGGUUGACUGUUCAAAUUGCUGACUGAUGCAGGAAUUUAACGGUUUUUUUUAAUCAAAAACUGUGAAUCUCGAUCUCAAAUCAAGUAAGACUACCC